rnacentral:rRNA from 1 species
UACGGAGGGUGCAAGCGUUAAUCGGAAUUACUGGGCGUAAAGCGUGCGUAGGCGGUAAGUUAAGUCUGCUGUGAAAUCCCUGGGCUCAACCUGGGAAUGGCGGUGGAUACUGGCUUGCUGGAGUACGGUAGAGGAAGGUGGAAUUCCCGGUGUAGCGGUGAAAUGCGUAGAGAUCGGGAGGAACAUCAGUGGCGAAGGCGACCUUCUGGACCAGUACUGACGCUGAGGCACGAAAGCGUGGGGAGCAAACAGGAUUAGAUACCCUGGUAGUCCACGCCCUAAACGAUGCGAACUGGAGGUUGGGUGCAACUUGGCACGCAGUCUCGAAGCUAACGCGUUAAGUUCGCCGCCUGGGGAGUACGGUCGCAAGACUGAAACUCA